GGAGGUAGUGACAAUAAAUCACAAUGCGGGACUAUUUAGUUUUGCAAUUGGAUUGAGAACAAUGUACAAGAGUUAUCGAUAAACAAUUGGAGGGCAAGUCUGGUGCCAGCAGCCGCGGUAAUUCCAGCUCCAAUAGCGUAUAUUAACGUUGUUGCAGUUAAAAAGCUCGUAGUUGAAGUGUGGGGUGAAAGGUUUGUGGUUCGUUUCGUUCCGCGUUCUGCUCACCCCCUCUCCAAUGUGUUGUUAUGGGUAUUAAUUUACUUGUAAUAGCUAUUGGUCAUUUACUGUGAGAAAAUUAGAGUGUUCAAAGCAGGCAUUUGCUUGAAUAUAUUAGCAUGGAAUAAUAGUAAAAGGCUUUUGUGGUCGAUUUAAUUGGUUUGUUCAUGAAAGCAAGAUUAAAAGGGACAGUUGGGGGUAUUCAUAUUCAAUAGUUAGAGGUGAAAUUCUCGGAUUUAUGGAAGAUGAACAAGUGCGAAAGCAA
rnacentral:rRNA from 1 species